GAUGAAGAACGCAGCGAAAUGCGAUACUUGGUGUGAAUUGCAGAAUUCAGUGAAUCAUCGAAUCUUUGAACGCACAUUGCGCCCCUUGGUAUUCCGAGGGGCAUGCCUGUUCGAGCGUCAUUAUAACCCCUCAAGCUCAGCUUGGUGUUGGGGCCUGCUGCACUGGCAGCCCUUAAAAUCAGUGGCGGCGCCAUCUGGCUCUAAGCGUAGUAAUUCUUCUCGCUAUGGAGUCCUGGUGGAUGCUUGCCAUCAACCCCCAAUUUUUCUAUGGUUGACCUCGGAUCAGGUAGGGAUACCCGCUGAACUUAAGCAUAUCAAUAAGCGGAGGA
rnacentral:misc_RNA from 1 species